AAACAAAGGCCCGCUACCUUUUCCCAAUUUUCUCCAAACCCGAGAAACAUAACAUCAAAAUUCUCUCUUUUUAUCCCAAAAAUAUAUUAGGUUUUGUUAAAUGGAAUGGAGUUUCUGCCAAAAUUCUUUCAAUUUGUCGAUUUGGAGCCGAUGCAAUCUCAAUCGGCGAUGAAGGCCCUAGUAAGCAAGCAUCUUAAUUACAUCUAUGGAGAUUAAGGGUUGGAGAUUACCCUAAAACCUAGUUCAGUGCGUUGGAUAUGGGUAUGGUAUUCUUAUUUUUUUCAUCUAUUGCAGUUUUCGCGACCAUUUUACAUCAAAGUAAGCUGUUUUAGUUUUGAACUGUUUGGACAACAAAUCGACAUCAGUAGUUGCCCAAAUGAACUAGCAUUCUUAUUUCCUGCUCAUUUAGCUAUAAUUCUGCAGUUUUAACCAUCAAUUGCAGUUGGGGAACACAUAGUUUGUCUGAUCAUAAAUUUCCUCACUAUGUUCCAAGUGGGGUUCUUUUUAUAUGGUUUUCUGUCUGCUUGUUUUUAUUAAUAUUUUAAUCUGCUUGUGUUAUUAAGCUUAGAAGAUAUUUGGUGGUAUCUUUGGUUGAAAAUAAAGGUGGUGAUUAUUGAAUGAUUUGGUUAAUCCUUUCUACCAUUCUAGAGAUGAACUAAGUUUUUUUUGCACCCGAAGUGACAGGCAGUGAUGCUUUUGAAUUUAAAGAGAAAGAUGACUAAUUCUAUUUCAAUUGGAGGCUUUUUAAACCCAUGAACUAGAUAAGAAAUAAAUAUUUAUUUCUGAUGUUAUAGUGUAUCUAAUAUAGUACUAUGAAAUAGAAGAACCUUUGUUCUACACAUACACAUUUAGUAUGUUGCAUGGUUUAAAAAAACAUAUAAUUGAUAAAUAAAAAAAGAGUAAGAUUGUUUAGGCAUCGAAAGAGAAUGUUAUGGAGAGAGCAAACUCACUAUGCAUUUGGAGUGAAAGAAAUUAAAAAAUUGCAAACACCCAACCAAAAGACUACUUAUUUUAUGAAGUCUGGUGGAGAUCUUCGCCCUCAAUAUAACCACUAAUAAUGUCAAGAACUAUGGGACACAUUGGAGCUAUGCUUGACGGGAAUCCUAUUUCUGCGAGGACUACGUGAACUAACAUGACACUCUUUAUUUGGGAUAUGUAUAAAAUAUUAAGACAUGGUUAAUACUCAUUAUAUAUGAGAACAUUUAGUUUCAUAUUUAACCAAAAAAGAGGAGAAAAAGAAUUGUAGUCAAUGCGUAAAGAGAUGAUCAACAUUGAGCUACGACAACAUAAUAUCAAUGAUACUGCACAAAGGAAUCAGAGAACUACGUGGCUGUUGAGUUAUACUAAACAACGAAGUUCUUAUAAUUAACUCAUCAACUUAGUUAUUGAAACUUUUUAUCCUCAUAAGAACUACCAUUUUUUCUUCAAACUUAAAGCUAUGCAGAGCUUGGCAUCUUCUCAUUCUUCUAGGAUUAUUCUCAAUCCUUAGUUGGUGAAUGAAAUAUAAAGAAAAUAUUUUGUAGCAUGACUACCAUCAAGUUUUCUCUUACCAAUUUCUGUGGGUCUCGGGUGUAACAAAUAAAGACAAGGUGCAAGUUCUUUAAUUUUGUGUGGCCUACUGAUCACUAAUCUCAAGUCGUUAGACAGAGACACUUUUAUAUACUCUUAGUUACAUUUAAGUAGAUUAUCUUUUGUUCUCAUGUGCGAACUUGAUCUUUUCAUAUGUAAAAUACUUUCUUGAUAAUAGUUGGUAGUGACAUUUAAAAUAUAGGACCUCUUCUUUGUUAUUAUGUAAAAUUGUGCCCUAUAUUUUUAACGGUUCAAACUUAUAAAUGAGAUUAGUUAAACAAUUUAGCACUAAUAUCUCUUCCUUUAACUUCUCAUAAUGUUGAUAAAAAGCUACACUUUUGGACAACGUAACCUUUGACAUUAGGCAACACUUUUUAAAUGUUGUCAUCUUUGGCUACACUUAUAAAGCGUAGCCAAAUAGGUAUAAGGACAUGCUUUGAAGACGUGCAUUCGCAACACCUAUUUUUUAUUAGACUACACUUAAAAGCGAUGCCUUUUCAGAGUUAUUGAUCACGCUUAAAAGUGUUGCCUUAGACGAAGUAAGCCUCACUUUCAACAAUAUCUAAAACUCAACAGGUUGUCCCUACUACAAAAACAAAUCUUCUACUUCUAUUCUGUUAUUGCUAUUAAUAGUUAGCAGAAAAGAAAGAAAGUAUAAUCCUCAAGUUGAAAGUAGAAAAAUAAAUAAAACAAUUAAAGACGUAGAAAUAACUGUUUUACUAAGGAGUUAAGUUAUAUACAUUAACAAUUAAAGCAUGUUACGCGAUCAAUGUAGUUUUACCAGUUAUAGAAAGUAAUAAAAUGUAUUUUUUAGGUCACCAAUCAAACUUGUCAUACACAGUUACUUGUUAUUGUAAAAAAUAAGAAGUUAUUUACUGUCCGUUCACAAAAGUUAAAGUCUAUUACUAUUAUUUUGCUAAUAGAUCCCUUUAUAGGAAGAAAUUUUCUAUUUGUCAUAACGGUAAUGUCCAGCUCUUGCAAAACGCUCUCACAAGUUACUACACCCCUUCUAGACUUGAAAGAUUUAUCCUAUAUCUCCUAUCUCUAAGGCAUAUGAUUCGUUUUCUAUAUAGUGCAACUCAAACUACAAAGCAAGUUUAGCAAAUUCAUACUACGAGGUGAUCCCAAAACAACUAAGUAAUAUUGAACUAAAGUUUCUGAUGUAUACUUGAAAAUGCACUAGAGAAACAACAAAAUGACUUCUAGACACUUCAAGACAUGUAGUCGAAAAAAGAAAAAUUUUACCAGCAAACAGCUACAAGACAGAAUCAAUAUGGUUAACAAAGGAACAAACCAAGCUUAAGGCGAGCACAACUAUGAACUCAGGAAGACUAAAAAAACAGUAACAUUAAAACAGAUAUUAAAACCUUUUGAAAUUCAUGUAGAGUAGCUACUUACACUUGACGAAAUCUAUAUUAGGGAGAAAAUAUCGUAGGUAUCACCAGCUUCAAUACUUCAGUUCUUCGAAGAAAGACGACUUAGCUACAACUCAGUUCUUCAGAUAAAGGCGACUUAACUUCAACUUCUACAUUCAAGAGAAAAAUUAGUCUGUCAAAGAUAAUCUGCCCAUUUAUACGUAAUACAACUACAAACUAAUAUCUCAAAAUUAACAAAAUUCGUAUCAACAACACAAGAACAUAAAAAUCCUAACUUAAAUUUUUGACUGACACACAAAAAUAUCAAAAUCUUAAAGCUAUAAUUUAGACUUUUGAAGAUAAAAUCUCUUACCUGAUCAACUCUAUUCCAACAACCCUAAAGCUUUAAGAUAUGAGACAAGUUGAUUUGUGAAACAUUUUCUUUCAAUUUUCAAAAGGAAAUCUGAUGGAACAACAGUUUUACCCAUGAAUCUUUGAAGAAAAUCGUCUUCUUCGGCUCUCUAAUCUUGAACAACGAAGCUCUGAGAGGAAAAUCGUCUUCUUCAGUUCAUCAUCAGAGAAAUCGCAGCGCUCUUCGAUCUUUCAGCUGAAAAUGGUGUUCUUCAGUUGAAGUUUGACAGAAAUGUGACGAAAAUCGUAGUAAAAAUCGAUUUCUUCCGUUCUUCAAUCCUCUUCUUGAGUUCUUGCAAAUGGUGUUCUUCAAUUGAAAAUGGAAGCUUCAGCUGAAGUUAUAGGAAAAUGUUGCCUUUUUUAUUUCUUUAAUGUUAUAUUCUUUUUUAUACUUCUUUAAUAUUUUUUUUUGGCCUAAUAAAGUGUAGGUUAUCCCAUUAAAGAGUACACUUUAGAAGUGUUGCUAAUAUUAGUGUAGCAAAAAGUCAAAAUCUUUGGCUAGACUUUAAAAGCGUUUCCAAAAGUAUUUAAGGCAACACUUUAUAAGCGUUGUCCAAAUUUAGUGUUGCCAUAGACCUAAAAUGGUAUAGUGUUGAUAAAAAGUGAGGCAUUAGCGUAUAUGAUAAUCAUGAUGUAGCCAUAUAAACAGGAAGAUUGUCUCUAAUCUGAAAUACUUGCACUUGUAAUUUGUGGUACAAUUAUAACUUCCGAUACCCCUCUUAUAUUCCUUAGGUAUGAAUACAAUAUAAGAAAAAUCAAAUGACAGGGAUGUAUAACUAGUGCGACUUCCUAUUUAUGUAAUUGUUUACUUCUUAUUGCAUACCUUUUGUUGUGAUAAGUCCAGACUUCAAUAUUCAAAUUGAAUUUUUCUUAUUCAAAAAAGAAGAGACAAACUCUCUUUGGACAGUUCCAUUCAACUAAAUUAAGUUCUCUUGUCCAAUAAAUUUAAUUAAAUAGCUCGUAAAGUUGUAUUUAUUUUUUUAUUGAUUCAUUUUGAUUUUGUAGAAAAAAACUAGCAUCUGUUACUAAACUAACAUGUACUUUUUCUUUUUACAGAUAACAAAAUUUGGAGUCUUAAGAAUCUAUCCACAAAUAAAGUGCAGAUCAGCAAGUCUAACAACUAAAAGUAUUGAAGAACAAGUGGAAGACUAGCGAUACAAUUGUAUAUUUUUAUCAAGAGUUGCUAAAUAUGUUUCCAUUGCUACCUAUUUUUGUAUUUUAUGUUUUUAAUAAAUGUUAUAAAGUUGACAGAUAUACUUUUGAUGAUAUAAUAAUUUAGUUCUUUGGAAUUUUCUAUGAAUCUUUAUAUGAAAUAAUAUUUCUCGUAAAAUUUUAAUGUGC
rnacentral:lncRNA from 1 species